rnacentral:rRNA from 1 species
AACGUAGGAGGCGAGCGUUAUCCGGAUUUACUGGGUGUAAAGCGCGUGCAGGCGGUUGGCUAAGUUGGGUGUGAAAGCUCCUGGCUCAACUGGGAGAGGUCGCUCAAGACUGGCCGACUGGAGAGCAGUAAGGGAAGGUGGAAUUCCGGGUGUAGUGGUGAAAUGCGUAGAUAUCCGGGGGAACACCAGUGGCGAAGGCGGCCUUCUGGACUGCUUCUGACGCUCAGACGCGAAAGCUAGGGGAGCAAACGGG